rnacentral:rRNA from 1 species
GAUGAACGCUGACAGAAUGCUUAACACAUGCAAGUCUACUUGAAUUUGGGUUUUUUAACUUAGUUUUGGUUGGCGGACGGGUGAUUAAUGCGUAAAGAACUUGCCUCACAGCUAGGGACAACAUUUGGAAACGAAUGCUCAUACCUGAACUUAUGAUUAUAAGGCAUCUUAGAAUUUUGAAAGUUAUAUGCGCGGUGAGAGAGCUUUUCGUCCCAGUAUCUAGUUGGAGAGGUAACGGCUCACAAAGGCGAUGAUGGGUAGCCGGCCUGAGAGGGUGAACGGCCACAAGGGGACUGAGACACGGCCCGUACGCCUACGGGAGGCAGCAGUGGGGAAUAUUGGACGAUGGACCAAGAGUCUGAUCCAGCAAUUCGGUGUGCACGAUGACGUUUUUAGGAAUGAAAAGGGCUUUCAGUUGGGAAGAAAAAAAUGACGGUACCAACAGAAGAAGUGACGGCUAAAUACGUG